rnacentral:rRNA from 1 species
UCCUGACUGACCGAUAGUGAACCAGUACCGUGAGGGAAAGGCGAAAAGAACCCCGGCGAGGGGAGUGAAAAAGAACCUGAAACCGUGUACGUACAAGCAGUGGGAGCACGCUUAGGCGUGUGACUGCGUACCUUUUGUAUAAUGGGUCAGCGACUUAUAUUCUGUAGCAAGGUUAACCGAAUAGGGGAGCCGAAGGGAAACCGAGUCUUAACUGGGCGUUAAGUUGCAGGGUAUAGACCCGAAACCCGGUGAUCUAGCCAUGGGCAGGUUGAAGGUUGGGUAACACUAACUGGAGGACCGAACCGACUAAUGUUGAAAAAUUAGCGGAUGACUUGUGGCUGGGGGUGAAAGGCCAAUCAAACCGGGAGAUAGCUGGUUCUCCCCGAAAGCUAUUUAGGUAGCGCCUCGUGAAUUCAUCUCCGGGGGUAGAGCACUGUUUCGGCAAGGGGGUCAUCCCGACUUACCAACCCGAUGCAAACUGCGAAUACCGGAGAAUGUUAUCACGGGAGACACACGGCGGGUGCUAACGUCCGUCGUGAAGAGGGAAACAACCCAGACCGCCAGCUAAGGUCCCAAAGUCAUGGUUAAGUGGGAAACGAUGUGGGAAGGCCCAGACAGCCAGGAUGUUGGCUUAGAAGCAGCCAUCAUUUAAAGAAAGCGUAAUAGCUCACUGGUCGAGUCGGCCUGCGCGGAAGAUGUAACGGGGCUAAACCAUGCACCGAAGCUGCGGCAGCGACGCUUAUGCGUUGUUGGGUAGGGGAGCGUUCUGUAAGCCUGCGAAGGUGUGCUGUGAGGCAUGCUGGAGGUAUCAGAAGUGCGAAUGCUGACAUAAGUAACGAUAAAGCGGGUGAAAAGCCCGCUCGCCGGAAGACCAAGGGUUCCUGUCCAACGUUAAUCGGGGCAGGGUGAGUCGACCCCUAAGGCGAGGCCGAAAGGCGUAGUCGAUGGGAAACAGGUUAAUAUUCCUGUACUUGGUGUUACUGCGAAGGGGGGACGGAGAAGGCUAUGUUGGCCGGGCGACGGUUGUCCCGGUUUAAGCGUGUAGGCUGGUUUUCCAGGCAAAUCCGGAAAAUCAAGGCUGAGGCGUGAUGACGAGGCACUACGGUGCUGAAGCAACAAAUGCCCUGCUUCCAGGAAAAGCCUCUAAGCAUCAGGUAACAUCAAAUCGUACCCCAAACCGACACAGGUGGUCAGGUAGAGAAUACCAAGGCGCUUGAGAGAACUCGGGUGAAGGAACUAGGCAAAAUGGUGCCGUAACUUCGGGAGAAGGCACGCUGAUAUGUAGGUGAAGUCCCUUGCGGAUGGAGCUGAAAUCAGUCGAAGAUACCAGCUGGCUGCAACUGUUUAUUAAAAACACAGCACUGUGCAAACACGAAAGUGGACGUAUACGGUGUGACGCCUGCCCGGUGCCGGAAGGUUAAUUGAUGGGGUCAGCGCAAGCGAAGCUCUUGAUCGAAGCCCCGGUAAACGGCGGCCGUAACUAUAACGGUCCUAAGGUAGCGAAAUUCCUUGUCGGGUAAGUUCCGACCUGCACGAAUGGCGUAAUGAUGGCCAGGCUGUCUCCACCCGAGACUCAGUGAAAUUGAACUCGCUGUGAAGAUGCAGUGUACCCGCGGCAAGACGGAAAGACCCCGUGAACCUUUACUAUAGCUUGACACUGAACAUUGAGCCUUGAUGUGUAGGAUAGGUGGGAGGCUUUGAAGUGUGGACGCCAGUCUGCAUGGAGCCGGCCUUGAAAUACCACCCUUUAAUGUUUGAUGUUCUAACGUGGACCCGUGAUCCGGGUUGCGGACAGUGUCUGGUGGGUAGUUUGACUGGGGCGGUCUCCUCCUAAAGAGUAACGGAGGAGCACGAAGGUUGGCUAAUCCUGGUCGGACAUCAGGAGGUUAGUGCAAUGGCAUAAGCCAGCUUGACUGCGAGCGUGACGGCGCGAGCAGGUGCGAAAGCAGGUCAUAGUGAUCCGGUGGUUCUGAAUGGAAGGGCCAUCGCUCAACGGAUAAAAGGUACUCCGGGGAUAACAGGCUGAUACCGCCCAAGAGUUCAUAUCGACGGCGGUGUUUGGCACCUCGAUGUCGGCUCAUCACAUCCUGGGGCUGAAGUAGGUCCCAAGGGUAUGGCUGUUCGCCAUUUAAAGUGGUACGCGAGCUGGGUUUAGAACGUCGUGAGACAGUUCGGUCCCUAUCUGCCG